rnacentral:rRNA from 1 species
GCAUCGAUGAAGAACGCAGCAAAUUGCGCGUCAACAUGUGAACUGCAGGACACAUGAACAUCGACAUUUCGAACGCACAUUGCGGUCCUUGGAUACUGUUCCUGGACCACAUCUAUCUGAGGGUCGUA